AACGAACGCUGGCGGCAGGCCUAACACAUGCAAGUCGAACGGGCGUAGCAAUACGUUAGUGGCGCACGGGAGAGUAACGCGUGGGAAUCUACCUUUUAGUUCGGGAUAACAUCGGGAAACUGGUGCUAAUACCGGAUAGCUCCUUCGGGAUAAAGAUUUAUCGCUAAAAGAUGAGCCCGCGUAGGAUUAGCUGGUUGGUGAGGUAACGGCUCACCAAGGCAACGAUCCUUAGCUGGUCUUAGAGGAUGAUCAGCCUCACUGGGACUGAGACACGGCCCAGACUCCUACGGGAGGCAGCAGUGGGGAAUAUUGGACAAUGGGGGCAACCCUGAUCCAGCCAUGCCGCGUGAAUGAUGAAGGCCUUCGGGUUGUAAAGUUCUUUUGGUGGGGACGAUAAUGACGGUACCCACAGAAUAAGCUCCGGCUAACUUCGUGCCAGCAGCCGCAGUAA
rnacentral:rRNA from 1 species